UGGUACUGCCAUACCACCCUGAACGCGCCCGAUCUCGUCUGAUCUCGGAAACAAAAUACAAGUGGUUUGGGGUUAUCUCAU
rnacentral:rRNA from 1 species